rnacentral:snRNA from 1 species
AUCACUUCCCUGCCUUGUGGCCCAGAUGGAGUGUUGUUGUAUCUGCUCUUACCAGGUUAAUAUCUGAUAUGUCCUCUGUCCGAGGACAAUAUAUUAAAUGGAUUUUGGGAGCUGGGAGAUGGGACAGCAGCUUGCUGUGUCCAAGACACUCCUUGGCCUGGCGUUGCAGUAGUCCAGGAACGGUGCCCCCACC